UAGGGAAUCUUCGGCAAUGGGGGGAACCCUGACCGAGCAACGCCGCGUGAGUGAAGAAGGUUUUCGGAUCGUAAAGCUCUGUUGUUAAGGAAGAACGAGUGUGAGAAUGGAAAGUUCAUACUGUGACGGUACUUAACCAGAAAGGGACGGCUAACUACGUGCCAGCAGCCGCGGUAAUACGUAGGUCCCGAGCGUUGUCCGGAUUUAUUGGGCGUAAAGCGAGCGCAGGCGGUUAGAUAAGUCUGAAGUUAAAGGCAGUGGCUCAACCAUUGUAGGCUUUGGAAACUGUUUAACUUGAGUGCAGACGGGGAGAGUGGAAUUCCAUGUGUAGCGGUGAAAUGCGUAGAUAUAUGGAGGAACACCGGUGGCGAAAGCGGCUCUCUGGUCUGUAACUGACGCUGAGGCUCGAAAGCGUGGGGAGCGAACAGG
rnacentral:rRNA from 1 species